rnacentral:tRNA from 1 species
GGUAAAAUGGCUGAAAUAUAGGUGAUAAAUUGUAAAUUUAUUAAUGAAUUUGAAAUUCUUUUACCA